AGAAUUUGAUCCUAGUUCAGGAUGAAUGUUGGCAUUGUGCCUUAAGCAUGCAAGUCGAGCGGUGAAGUCUUUCAAUCGCAAGAAAGAGAGACGGAGCAGCGGCAGACGGGUGAGUACAAGAUAGGAAUCUACCUCUUGAUGGGGGACAGCUCGCCGAAAGGCGGGGUAAUACCGCAUAAGUUCGUAAGAAGAAAGCCGCAAGGCGUCGAGAGAUGAGCCUAUUCGCUAUCAGCUAGUUGGUGGGGUAAAAGCCUACCAAGGCUAUGACGGCUAGGGGGUGUGAGAGCACGACCCCCCACAAGGUUACUGAGACACGGAACCUACACCUACGGGUGGCAGCAACUGGGAAUUUUGCGCAAUGGACGAAAGUCUGACGCAGCGACAAUGCGUGUGGGAUGAAGGCCUUCGGGUUGUAAACCACUGUGGUAGUGAAUGAACAAAAUGACAGUACACUAUUAGAAAGCACCUGCUAACUACGUGCCAGAAGCCUCGGUAAUACGUAGGGUGCAAACAUUAUCCGGAAUCACUGGGCGUAAAGAGUAUCGUAGGCGGUUGGUUAAGUGGAGGGUUAAAGCCUGGAGCUCAACUCCAGAGAUGCCCUUCAAACUGGCUUACUUGUGGAAAUUCGGGGGUAUCGGAAUUCUUGGUGGAGGAGUGAAAUCCGUUGAUAUCAAGAAGAACACCAAUGGCGAAGGCAGAUACCUAGGGUUUUCCAGACGCUGAUGAACGAAAGCUAGGGGAGCGAAAGGGAUUAGAGACCCCUGUAGUCCUAGCCGUAAACGAUGAACACUAGCUAUUCCCGCAAGGGAGUGGCGCAAGCUAACGCGUUAAGUGUUCCGCCUGGGGAGUACGACCGCAAGGUUAAAACUCAAAGGAAUUGACGGGGAAACGCACAACCAGCGUGCCAUGUGGUUUAAUUCGAAACAAAACGAUAGACCUUACCUGGGUUUGAAAUAACACCGUUUAGUCACCUGGAAACAGGAGAUGAUCCGCAAGGAUGGUGCUACAGCUGCUGCAUGGCUGUCGUCAGUUCGUGUCGUGAGGCGUCGAUUUAAGUAUCGUAACGAACGCAACCCCUGCUGUAUGUUAAAUAUCCAUACGGGACUGCCCUGCUUUUUUAGUGGGGAGGAAGGAGGGGAUGAUGUCAAGUCAGCAUGGCGCUUACAUCCAGGGCCACACACAUGGCGUAAUGGUCGGGACAACGGGUCGCGAAGGAGUAAUCCGGAGCUAAUCCUAAUAAACCCGACCUCAGUUCGGAUUGUGGGCUGAAACUCGCCCACAUGAAGGGGAGUUGGUAGUAAUCGCAGAUCAGCAAUACUGCGGUGAAUACGUUCUCGUUUCUUGUACACACCGCCCGUCAAGUCAACAAAGUUAGUAGUACCCGAAGUCGAUUCCCUUAACCGCAAGGAAAGGGGCGCCUAAGGUAAGACUAGCGAUGGGGGCUAAGUCGUAACAAGGUAUCCGUUCUGGAAGGAGCGGAUG
rnacentral:rRNA from 1 species